rnacentral:lncRNA from 1 species
UGACAACUGCAGCUUGUGAAUUUGCCAAGAGCAACCCAUCUUUGCCUUUAAUGAAAGAAGAUUAAAGACUGAGAAAGACUAAGAGAAAUGUUUUAUGAACAUCUUGAGAAAGACAUGAAAGCAGCAGUAAGCAGAAAGGUGUGGCUAGCAGGACAACCUGCUCACCAUAUUGUCCUUCCAAUGUGGCUGGUCAAGGUUACUAUUUUGCUCUUCUGACAUGUUAUCAAUUAUCCUGCCAACAGACUGAUACCGGACCUGUAGUUUUCUUAUAAAAUAAAAAACUGAGUUUAAUUAAACCA